rnacentral:rRNA from 1 species
AGAGUUUGAUUAUGGCUCAGGACGAACGGCUGGCGGCGUGCCUAAUACAUGCAAGUCGAACGGAGUUAGAGACUUCGGUUUCUAACUUAGUGGCGAACGGGUGAGUAACGCGUGAGCAACCUGACUCAAAGAGGGGGACAACAGCUGGAAACGGCUGCUAAUACCGCAUAAGACCACAAUGUCGCAUGACGAAGGGGUCAAAGAAUUUCGCUUUGAGAGGGGCUCGCGUCCCAUUAGAUAGUUGGUGAGGUAACGGCCCACCAAGUCGACGAUGGGUAGCCGAGCUGAGAGGCUGAUCGGCCACACUGGAACUGAGACACGGUCCAGACUCCUACGGGAGGCAGCAGUAGGGAAUAUUGGGCAAUGGGCGCAAGCCCUGACCCAGCAACGCCGCGUGAGGGAAGAAGGUUUUCGGAUUGUAAACCUCUGUCCUAUGUGACGAAGGAAGUGACGGUAGCAUAGGAGGAAGCCCCGGCUAACUACGUGCCAGCCGCCGC